rnacentral:rRNA from 1 species
CAGCCGCCGCGGGAAUACGAAGGGGGCUAGCGUUGCUCGGAAUUACUGGGCGUAAAGCGCACGUAGGCGGAUAUUUAAGUCAGGGGUGAAAUCCCAGAGCUCAACUCUGGAACUGCCUUUGAUACUGGGUAUCUUGAGUAUGGAAGAGGUGAGUGGAAUUCCGAGUGUAGAGGUGAAAUUCGUAGAUAUUCGGAGGAACACCAGUGGCGAAGGCGGCUCACUGGUCCAUUACUGACGCUGAGGUGCGAAAGCGUGGGGAGCAAAUGGGAUUAGAUACCCCCGUAGUCCCUGUCUCUUAUAC